rnacentral:rRNA from 1 species
CCUACGGGGGGCAGCAGUGGGGAAUAUUGCACAAUGGGCGCAAGCCUGAUGCAGCCAUGCCGCGUGUGUGAAGAAGGCCUUCGGGUUGUAAAGCACUUUCAGCGGGGAGGAAGGCGUUAAGGUUAAUAACCUUGUCGAUUGACGUUACCCGCAGAAGAAGCACCGGCUAACUCCGUGCCAGCAGCCGCGGUAAUACGGAGGGUGCAAGCGUUAAUCGGAAUUACUGGGCGUAAAGCGCACGCAGGCGGUCUGUCAAGUCGGAUGUGAAAUCCCCGGGCUCAACCUGGGAACUGCAUUCGAAACUGGCAGGCUAGAGCCUUGUAGAGGGGGGUAGAAUUCCAGGUGUAGCGGUGAAAUGCGUAGAGAUCUGGAGGAAUACCGGUGGCGAAGGCGGCCCCCUGGACAAAGACUGACGCUCAGGUGCGAAAGCGUGGGGAGCAAACAGGAUUAGAUACCCCAGUAGUC